rnacentral:rRNA from 1 species
AACGAACGCUGGCGGCGUGCUUAACACAUGCAAGUCGAACGAGAAAAUCGUAGCAAUACGGUGAGUAAAGUGGCGCACGGGUCCGUAACACGUGGAUAAUCUGCCUUUGGGCGGGGCAUAACCUGUCGAAAGACGAGCUAAUACCCCAUAAGACCACAGGAUCUCAGGAUCCCGGGGUCGAAGGUGGCCUCUAUUUAAAAGCUAUCACCUGUAGAUGAGUCCGCGCACCAUUAGCUAGUUGGCGGGGUAACGGCCCACCAAGGCUCAGAUAGUUAGCUGGUCUGAGAGGACGAUCAGCGACACUGGAACUGAGACACGGUCCAGACUCCUACGGGAGGCAGCAGUGGGGAAUCUUGGACAAUGGGCGAAAGCCUGAUCCAGCAACGCCGCGUGAGUGAUGAAGGCCCUCGGGUUGUAAAGCUCUGUCGGCUGGGACGAAACAGGGUGACCUAACACGUCACUCGAUGACGGUACCAGCAAAGGAAGCACCGGCUAACU